ACUUAUGUGAAUUUGAUGAUUACAUACGUGAUAAUUUAUUUUUAUUUUUAUUUCAACGGAUGAUGCACUCAAAAUAUAUUUUGAGUCCAUUAAGAGAAUGAUGGAGCUCAAAGAUUUAUUUUGAGUUUUCAAAUCGAAAAAAAAAAUUAUGUAUUUAUUUAUUUUUACCGAGAAAUUUAGGAAUGAUGAGUUAUAAAAAUUUUCCAUCAAUAUUUUUCUCAAAUUAUUUUCCUAUGAUGUAUUUAUAAAUUGAGAGAGUGCACUAAUGUUAGUGCUAUUUAUUCUAAUUUUGAUCACAAGAGUUUUAUGCUCUAGCAUUUUAUCAAUUGAUGAUUAGUCUUACAUAUAUUUUUUUUUUUUACACAUGGGUUAUUACUACACCACAUUUUUAUAUUUACUUAAUGUAACACCCCAUUAUCCUCCACUAAUAUUUUCUUUUCCCUACCACUAAUCUUUUUCCCUACCACCACUAAUAUUUUCUUUUCCCUACCACUAAUCUUUUUCCCUACCACUACUCCUACCUUUCCACCACACUACUCCUUUUCCCCCACCACUACAUUAUUUCUCCCACUCUCACAACUUUUCUCCCACCAUUAUCACACUCCAUAGAAGCCUUUGAAGCCCCAAGAGAAGUAGCAAAGCAAGGGAGAGUGUGGGAAAACUAUAGAGUGAAGGUUGUGCUUCGAGGGUCCGGGCGACAGAAAGUGAAGCCGAAGAAGAAACGACUCCACGCCAGCUUUAAGAACAAUUGAGGUUGAGCAGGCGAUGGAGUGGAUCGGUGUUGAGCGGAUUUCCCUUUUGAUGUUUAUGUAAUGAAACCUUGAGUAUGCAUCUCCAUAUGCAUAACUCACACGUUUUUUUUCGCUGCAAACACUCUGACUUAUUUAUCAUUUCUACUUGAACUUAUUACUACUUCAUUUUAAUUAACUUUCAGUUGGGGUCUAGUCGUUAUGGCAGACUCAUUUGUGAAUUACCCAAGUGGUUAUAUAUAUACCACUAGUUUGUUAUUAAUGUUGGUUACUUAGUAAAUCCCCUUUAAUUUC